GAUGAACGCUGGCGGCGUGCCUAAUACAUGCAAGUCGAGCGAACAGACGAGGAGCUUGCUCCUUUGUCGUUAGCGGCGGACGGGUGAGUAACACGUGGAUAACCUACCUAUAAGACUGGGAUAACUUCGGGAAACCGGAGCUAAUACCGGAUAAUAUAUUGAACCGCAUUGUUCAAUAGUGAAAGACGGUUUUGCUGUCACUUAUAGAUGGAUCCGCGCCGCAUUAGCUAGUUGGUAAGGUAACGGCUUACCAAGGCAACGAUGCGUAGCCGACCUGAGAGGGUGAUCGGCCACACUGGAACUGCGACACGGUCCAGACUCCUACGGGAGGCAGCAGUAGGGAAUCUUCCGCAAUGGGCGAAAGCCUGACGGAGCAACGCCGCGUGAGUGAUGAAGGUCUUCGGAUCGUAAAACUCUGUUAUUAGGGAAGAACAAAUGUGUAAGUACCUAUGCACGUCUUGACGGUACCUAAUCAGAAAGCCACGGCUAACUACGUG
rnacentral:rRNA from 1 species